GACGAACGCUGGCGGCGUGCUUAACACAUGCAAGUCGAACGGAAAGGCCCUGCUUUUGUGGGGUGCUCGAGUGGCGAACGGGUGAGUAACACGUGAGUAACCUGCCCUUGACUUUGGGAUAACUUCAGGAAACUGGGGCUAAUACCGGAUAGGAGCUCCUGCUGCAUGGUGGGGGUUGGAAGGUUUCGGCGGUUGGGGAUGGACUCGCGGCUUAUCAGCGUGUUGGUGGGGUAGUGGCUUACCAAGGCUUUGACGGGUAGCCGGCCUGAGAGGGUGACCGGCCACAUUGGGACUGAGAUACGGCCCAGACUCCUACGGGAGGCAGCAGUGGGGAAUAUUGCACAAUGGGCGGAAGCCUGAUGCAGCAACGCCGCGUGCGGGAUGACGGCCUUCGGGUUGUAAACCGCUUUCGCCUGCGACGAAGCGUGAGUGACGGUAAUGGGUAAAGAAGCACCGGCUAACUACGUG
rnacentral:rRNA from 1 species